CCUACGGGACGCAGCAGUGAGGAAUAUUGGUCAAUGGGCGCGAGCCUGAACCAGCCAAGUAGCGUGAAGGAUGACUGCCCUACGGGUUGUAAACUUCUUUUAUAAAGGAAUAAAGUGAGGCACGUGUGCCUUUUUGUAUGUACUUUCUGAAUAAGGAUCGGCUAACUCCGUGCCAGCAGCCGCGGUAAUACGGAGGAUCCGAGAGUGCUCUGGAUAUAGUGGGUUUAAAGGGAGCGAAGUGGGGUUGGUAAGUCAGUUGUGAAAGUUUGCGGCUCAACCGUAAAAUUGCAAUUGAUACUGUCAGCAGUGAGUACAGUUGAGGUAGGCGGAAUUCGUGGUGUAGCGGUGAAAUGCUUAGAUAUCACGAAGAACUCCGAUUGCGAAGGCAGCUUACUAAACUGCCACUGACAUUGAUGCUCGAAAGUGUGGGUAUCAAACAGGAUUAGAUACCCGAGUAGUC
rnacentral:rRNA from 1 species